GGAUUAGAUACCCUGGUAGUCCACGCCGUAAACGAUGGGCACUAGUUGGUGCGGGUAUUGACCCCUGCGCUGACGCAGCAAACGCAUUAAGUGCCCCGCCUGGGGAGUACGGCCGCAAGGCUAAAACUCAAAGGAAUUGACGGGGGCCCGCACAAGCGGUGGAGCAUGUGGAUUAAUUCGACGCAACGCGCAGAACCUUACCCGGCCUUGACAUCCUGGGAAGCCGCCCGAAAAGGCGGUGUGCUCUUCGGAGAGCCCAGUGACAGGUGCUGCAUGGCUGUCGUCAGCUCGUGCCG
rnacentral:rRNA from 1 species